UAAAUUUGAGCUUGCUUAAAGGUUAAUUAACUUUGAUUAAUGGAUUCUUGUAGAGUGAUCCAAUGGCAGUUGUGUUCUUGAGGAAAAGAGAUGGGAUGCUUCAGGAACUUGGGAGGAUCAGAAGUUAUGUUGACUAGCUUGGAUCCCCUGUGGAUUGAAAAGAUGCAUUUAGCUCGUUAGUUUGACUGUUCGACUUUUGGUUAUGGAUUGAAAAGAACUUAUAUACUACAUACUUUUACUAUGGUUAUAGAUCAACUUAAUUUUUGGUCAUUUCCUGAAGUUGGAAUAUAUAUCAAUAGAUGCUCAUCUCUUUUCUUACCUUUGAUGUUGGACGAUCUUAUGUUUGGUAGGAAUUCGAAUGUUAAUAGGCAAUUUCGUAACCCUUGCAAUCACGUUUAUUGGCGAAGUAUAUACUAGUUCAUUCAGAUUACUUGGGUUUCCAUUUGCCUUUUAUCUAUCCAAUUUGAGAAAGAAGAAAUGUCAAUGGUAUCUCUAAACGGGAGGUUUCAUUGUAGAUGUCAAAGCUGAUGGACCAAAAGAAGAAAUGCCUUUAGCUUCCGUUAACUCCUAAAUAAAAAAGAUAUAUGUCCAUUUCUCUUAACACAACUGUUAGUGAAAUCUUGAAUUAGCUAAUUAAUGUGAUACAUUUAUGGAAAUUUAGGACAUAAUUAUGAGGUGUGGUGGUUGAUAACUCCUAAUUAUUUAGCAUGUCAUCAUGCCAUCCAAUUUUAACUGGUGCACAUGAUCUGCUCUUUCUGAUUGACCAUGACCCCCUUUUGAAAAUUAGGGUACUACAAUUGCUCCAUUCCUUUUCACUUCAAAUAACCAAUGUGAGGCUUUCUUUAUUUCUCGCCUCACAUGUGCACUAAAUAUACUCCUCUCACAUGUGAGUCUAUCAAACUGAGGCCAAACGUUGCCAUUUGGUACAUGAUAUUCUCUUUUGAGAAUUAUUGACUACUUCUUUGUAUCCCAAAAAGUGAAAUAUAGCAUUUUUUUUUUUAUAUAUAUAUCUCAUAUGUGUACUCAACGAAGGAAUGCUUCAAAAUGUAUUUACUAAUGCUAAAUAGAAAAAAAAAAAAAGAAGAAGCAAAAUCUUCAGUGGACCAUAGAUUGGUUUGUAUUAUUGAAUUCUAAGCAUUGUUUUUCGUUUUUGAAUUUAAGGAAAAUGCUUACACCAAGCACUCAAAAGAUUCAAGUGAAAUUUAUUUCAUGAAAAGAGUCAAAUUAACUAACAGAAGCCUCACAUUAGUCCAAAUGGUCAAAUAAGAUAGGUUUAUUAUCAAUUACAACCAUAGUGGAAGUUCCUAAUUACAGCUGUCCAUUAACGAUAUAUUCUCAAACAUAGAGUAAAUACAAAACUAAUUAAUCAAUUCUAUUGUGCAUACAAGUGUGAGUUUAUGUCUGAUCCACAGCAAAUAGACAAUAAGGCGAAUCGCUGUGGCCAAAAGUAAUGGCCGACAAAAAGAAAAGCACAAUAUGGACAAUACUAUGAAUCCCUAUGGAAUCAUUUUUGAGGGAUCAGCGUCACCAAACUUAGCCAAGCAUCGCUGCCAGUUGUCCAUAAUCGUUAGCCUAAAGGCCAAAUCGAGACAAUCCCAAGGGUCCCAAGACAACCUCAUUCGAAAUUGAAGAUUCAUAUCAUGGCUAUACCUUUCACAUAAAUACACGAUUUCAUAUCAUGAUUAUACCUUUCGCAUAAAUACAUGAUUUCUUUUUGGAUUUUGCCAGAACUUCCAAUGAUGCUCCAACCGACCGUGGCCACUGGCCCAGUGCCUAUUGUUGGCGUCUUGAUAGUCAAGUCACAUUUAAUCAAAGACUCCAGAAUGAAUGAUGGGAGUGUGGGUGUGGAACUCUUUAAUUCGGGGCCCUCACCUUUUGUUCAUAUAUCAUCAAUAAUUUUUGCUUUUUUUAAAGUGAGGAUGUACUUAAGAAGGAAUGAUUAAAUAACAUGACAAAGAGCUGGGAACUUUCAAUUCACAUGCCAAAUAAUCAUGAUCAUGAUUUAAGUAAGUCCUUAAAAGACUCAAGGGAAAGAAACAAGGGUGCGAGACCUCGCGGUAUUGCUCCCGUAUUCCCUCUCAAUUGGGAAGAAACAAAUUGACUAGGAAUUAAGGGCCAUUCAGUGGCGAAGGUAGCCAUCAUGUGAAGGUUAUCCAACCCUGGCUAUCGGAGGAUAGACAGGUAAAGUAGCCUUCCGCAUCUGGAGUGAGAAGAGAUGGAUGAAAGUCCUCCUACAAGAAAGGCAUGCCUCACGGCAAGUCAACAUAACCAGUUGGUGAGGCAUGCCUUUCUCACGUACAUCCUCACUUUAAAAAAGCAAAAAUUAUUGAUGAGUGGAACAAUUCUAGUUAUCACAAGAUAGAUAAAGUAGCCUCUCACAUCUAGAGUGAGAAGAGAUGGAUGAAAGUCCUACCGCAAGAAAGGCAUGCCUCACGACAAGUCAACAUCACCGAUCGGUGACGCAUGCCUUUCUCAUGUACAUCCUCACUUUGAAAAAGCAAAACAUAUUGAUAAGUGGACCAAAGCACACUAUAGAUAGCCAUUAUAACAUGACAAAGAGUUGGGAACUUGCAAUUCACGUAGCAGAUAAUCACGAUCUAACGUUAAUGACAUUAUCGUUAUGUUGAUUUGCCGUGAGGCAUGCCUCUUUCAUGUACAUCCUCACUUUAAAAAUGCAAAAAAUUAUUAAUUAAGGGUGAGCAUAUCGGACUGCCUGAAUCGGAUCAUACUGGCUGGUUCGGUUCAAUUCGAUUCCUAGGGACGUUGAUCCAGUUCUUAAAGGCGUUGGUCCAGUUUCCAAUUCCAUUUUUAUUGACGAUUUUCAGUCCGCUUACUGAUUCUGAGGGGGAAUCAGAUGGGAUUGGAUCGACUCUUCUUUUAAAAAAAAUAUUUUAAAUUUCUUAGAAAUAGCAAUAAACCCUAAAAUUGUAAUAACUCUAGUAUUUUUUUUAAAAAAAUUUCCAAUUUUUUUGCUAAGUGGCUGGUUCCAUUGGAUUGGAUUGGAUGGUCCGAUUCUUGGUCCUAGGACCAGUUGGUCUGAUCCUCAAUCCCAUAGCGAUUCAUUAGUUUUCUUUUAAUGGUUCACCUCUGAAAAUGUUGCAAUAAAUAUGAAGAUCCAUUUCUUGAAAGACCAUAGAACUACAAAAAUUUAAUAAACCCUUCAUCAUAUAUUUUUUUUCCUUCAAACACAAUUAUUGUGACAUUCUGAUUUUCCACGUCUAUUUUCAAUUGAAUGAGUCGGGCUUUUCAUUGACGCGCCUAUAGCAUUUUUCUCUGAGUUGGCCACUCUCGAGUUAACUGAUCCAUCCGGUUGAAGCCGUUAAGGAAUUUUAACGCUAUAGAUUCGAGAGUUCGACCAGGAACCAACUACUCAACCGUGCUAAUAUGUAAGGGUCAAUACGACACUGUCAAAAUCGAUUAGAGGUUAGAGAUAAGUCUAUUUGACCGAGAUAUGUGAUCAGUGUGUGAGUGAUUCCACUUGAUUGCAAAAUUCUCGUCGAAUGACACUGGACUGAUUAUUUUGUCACGCCCCGAUUCUCCAAGUACGUGCCCAUCUCUCUAUGGUCGAUUAACUAGUGACAUCCUAGGACGCAUUGCCGAUCCAUUCAUUUUUAAAUGCACAUGUCGCGACCAAUUUUUUCAGGUGUGAACCUCCUAGGGUUUGGCUAAUGGAUUGUUAAGCCUAAACUUAACUCGGGCUCUCCCAAGCCCAUACCAAUUCGCGACUUAGGUUCAAGUUCUUAACAUGCAAAUGGUAUUUCAAUCAGGAGUCGCCACUAAUCUAUUUUUGGUGGGUCGAUUAGAAACCCAAGUAAAGUAAUGGGAGUUUUACUUUACUCCUACGAACCAGAGAUUUGUGAGUUUGGGACUUAGUUACGUUAGAUUUCUCUAACGCCCUUUCGGUACCUUUAUCUUUUAUUUUGAAAAAAUUGUUUGGCAAGCAACUUGAAUUGAUUUUAAUUCCUUAACAUGUGAGGUGGCCAUGCAAGUACGCAAACCACCAAUUUAACACUCAAGAAAGCAAAUGAAUAAAUUGCAGGACUUACCUCGUAGCAACGAAAGCAUCUGCGUUGUUAGUUUAGAAUUCACAUCAACAAUCCUAAAUAUGAUUUUUAAUUAACACGCAAUUUCUCUUUUUGUUUUCACUUAUUUAAUGAUAAUCAUGCAAUGCAUGCUACUAAUCUAAGAUAAUAUGACAUGGCAAUAUGACCUAAGUUGUAUGACAUGAGUAAAAUAAUUUCUAAAGAAAUGCAAUGAUUAAAUGUGCAAUCUAAAUUAACCUAAUGACUUAAUUCUAAUGACGGGCAAUUUCUAAUUAAAUGAACCUAGCAACAACCACUAAAUGACGUGCAUUUCGUGACCCUAACGCUAUAUGACGUGCACAUGAUUUUCUUAUUUUCUUAAUAAGCAUGCAAUCUAUCCUAAUAUAAAACUAACAUCUUAAAUGAAUGCAUCUUUUUUGGAUUUUUAUUUAGGGAAUUCGAAAUAAAUAAAUUUCCUAUUCUAAACAUGCAAAAUAAUCCUAAAAUAAAUAAUUCUAACAUGAAUCUAAUCUAACUCAAAUGUUUUUUUUUUUUUUCCUUUUACGGGAGCGAACAAAUAAAGGCAUCAAAAACAGCACGGCACCAAAUCAAGCAAGAUAUCAUCCAUGUCCAUUUAAUUUUGGGAAAUAAAUUGAUGUGUCGUAUCUCGUGCAUGAGAUUGGAUUGGCCAAUUUUAAAUAAAACCGCGAAUUGAAUCUAGAGCGUGAGAUUGGAUUGGCGAUUUUUCCGUGCGAUUGCGAGUCAUAUUUCGAGCGUGAAAUCGGACCGUCAAUCGUAUGCACGUUGUGAAAUUAGGAAGAUUUCCCAAUUCAAAAAGAUACUUUAUGUUUAUGGAUACGAUAGCAUCAUUUAAAGAUUCAUAUGAGAUAGCAAUUUCACAAAUUAGGCAAUAAAAAUAUAUGAAGAUCAACUUGAUGAAAAUUAUUACCUAAAUUGCAAUAUCACUCGGAUACCGUUUCCAAACUCAGAAGGACUACGAAUCAUGCGAAUUGCGGUGGUGAUGGCUCUGAGCUCGGUGGAGGACUCGCCGGAGCAUCGAGGAUCGUCAAUAUCACUGGACUAAUCUGGUGGUGUCGAGCAAUGAUGAUGGGUCACGUGGUGGUUCAUAGUGAUGCUGGCCGAUGGGUCUCUCGGUGAUGCUUACGAUCAACAAACCUACAAAACAGAAACUUCACGGGAUGCUUGGUUCGGGGAUGAGCCCAACGGGAUGGUAGCUUGUCUUGACGUCGGGCCAAAGGAUGGUGUCGGAGUAACUCACGUCGAGGCUUCACGGCUCAGCAUGGCAGGGCAACAAAACAAUUGAUGAACUUUCACCAAUGAAAAUCGAAGUCGAUUGGUAACCGCCAGGACUGCAGGAACGUCGGAAGCAGCGUUAAUUCAUGAGCGGCAAGCAGAUCUCAUUAGCACCGCCCAAAAAAAAAGAUCUUUGAAAAGUGAGGUGUCCAUAAUGGAGUGGAGAGAACAGUGAAACCAUGAAACAUAAUCCAAAAAGAAAAGGCCAAAGAAGAACAUCCCCUAUGCGACCAAAGUAGAAUUUUUUAUUGGCCCUCCCCUCCUUCCUUCACGAGCGUAGCUGUGCUCUCUGAUCUCCGAUUCUUUGAUCACCACACCCGGUGAAUUUCAUUGAUUUCACGUUGAGGGACUUCCAUGCGACCGGCAAAUCAAAUUCCACGGCUAGGCAAGGGUUCCCAUUGACGAAGCCCCUGAACUCGAGAUCGCGACUGGAAGGAACAUUGCAUUUUUCUGGAUCCUGGGAUAUCCGUGGCAGGAGCAGCUAGUCGUGAUAUGGGUGUGGGCUUUGCAGGUCCGUGCGCAAUAUCGGAAGGGUAUAAUAUUGGUCGUCCAGAGAAGUCGUCCUCAAGAUGUAAGGAUCUCUCUCUCUUUCAAUCUAAGUCUCGCCCUCACUCACGUUUUUCUCUCAAAGGCCAUGUAUUCAAUAUGUG
rnacentral:lncRNA from 1 species